GCAAUGCGGCAUCUUACCAUGCAGUCGAGUGCGCGGUUCGGGGUAGCAAUACUCCGGAUUGGCGCACGGCGCACGGGUGCGUAACACGUGGGUGACCUGCCCAGAGAUGGGGAAUAACCCCGCGAAAGCGGGGCUAAUACCGCAUAACAUUCCAUGACAUUCGGGUCGUGGAUUCAAAGCCUUCGGGCGUCUUUGGAGGGGCCCGCGGCCGAUUAGCUAGUUGGCGAGGUAAUGGCUCACCAAGGCAAUGAUCGGUAGCUGGUCUGAGAGGACGAUCAGCCACACUGGAACUGAGACACGGUCCAGACUCCUACGGGAGGCAGCAGUGGGGAAUCUUGCGCAAUGGGCGAAAGCCUGACGCAGCGACGCCGCGUGGGGGAUGAAGCUUCUCGGAGUGUAAACCCCUUUCGACCUAGAUGAAACGCCCCGCAAGGGGAAUUGACAGUAUAGGGAGAAGAAGCCCCGGCUAACUACGUGCCAGCAGCCGCGGUAAGACGUAGGGGGCCAGCGUUGCUCGGAAUUACUGGGCGUAAAGGGUUCGUAGGCGGUGCGGCAAGUCUGAAGUGAAAUCUCCCGGCUUAACUGGGAGGCUGCUUUGGAAACUGCUGUGCUCGAGUCCGGGAGAGGCGCGUGGAAUUGCAGGUGUAGCGGUGAAAUGCGUAGAUAUCUGCAGGAACACCAGAGGCGAAAGCGGCGCGCUGGACCGGUACUGACGCUGAGGAACGAAAGCUAGGGGAGCAAACAGGAUUAGAUACCCUGGUAGUCCUAGCCCUAAACGAUCGGCACUUGAGGUGGGCCCUGUCCGGGGUCCGUCUCGCAGCCAACGCGAUAAGUGCCGCGCCUGGGGAGUACGGCCGCAAGGUUGAAACUCAAAGGAAUUGACGG
rnacentral:rRNA from 1 species